GAUGAACGCUGACGGCGUGCCUAAUACAUGCAAGUCGAGCGAACAGAUAAGGAGCUUGCUCCUUUGACGUUAGCGGCGGACGGGUGAGUAACACGUGGGUAACCUACCUAUAAGACUGGGAUAACUUCGGGAAACCGGAGCUAAUACCGGAUAAUAUUUCGAACCGCAUGGUUCGAUAGUGAAAGAUGGUUUUGCUAUCACUUAUAGAUGGACCCGCGCCGUAUUAGCUAGUUGGUAAGGUAACGGCUUACCAAGGCGACGAUACGUAGCCGACCUGAGAGGGUGAUCGGCCACACUGGAACUGAGACACGGUCCAGACUCCUACGGGAGGCAGCAGUAGGGAAUCUUCCGCAAUGGGCGAAAGCCUGACGGAGCAACGCCGCGUGAGUGAUGAAGGUCUUCGGAUCGUAAACUCUGUUAUUAGGGAAGAACAUACGUGUAAGUAACUGUGCACGUCUUGACGGUACCUAAUCAGAAAGCCACGGCUAACUACGUG
rnacentral:rRNA from 1 species